CCCUUAGAUGUUCUGGGCCGCACGCGUGCUACACUGAGUGGAUCAGCGGGUCGGGUUGCGCGAAAGUGUUUCCUAAUCUUUAAAUCCGCUCGUGAUGGGGAUUGACGGUUGCAAUUUUCCGUCAUGAACGAGGAAUACCUUGUAAGCGCGGGUCAUCAUCCCGCGCUGAAUACGUCCCUGCCCUUUGUACACACCGCCCGUCGCUCCUACCGAUUGAGUGGUCCGGUGAGGCUUUGGGAUCUGAGCGGAAAGAGCGUUUCGCUGUUUCUGCCCGGAAAACUCAGUCGAACCUUAUCAUUUAGAGGAAGGAGGAGUCGUAACA
rnacentral:rRNA from 1 species